UUUGAUAAAUAAAUACACCAUAUUACAUUCAUUGUAAUAUUUAAUCAAUAUCGUUGUUGUACUUUAGGAUAGUUGGUGAAAUAAUGGCAGUGAGCAUUACUCAGGAUGGACCUUUUUCAUGGAGUGGAUUUACAAUUUCAUUUCUUCCGGGAGAUUAAUAAAGAUGAGCUGACAUAACAGAUGCAGACCUGCUAGAUCUGAUUGACAAGAAGAAGGGAGCAGCAGUAAGGAGAGCAGGGUUGAAGAUGACAGCGAACAGCUG